rnacentral:lncRNA from 1 species
GAAAACAGUUUUAUCAAGUGCACGAUCUUAGAUGUGCUGAGAUUUCUUUAUUAUUUUUUGUUUCUCUUGGCGCUCUCUUGCUUUGAGUGUUCAGGGGUCUUGAAAUCCGUGUUCAUACAUGGACGCCACACAUUCUGUGAAUGCCUUGAGUGCAAAAUUUGGAUUUGCAUGUGUAAAUUUCUUCCAGAGGGUCUGCUGGAGACCUUGGCAUUUUACUUCCCGGACAUAACUUUAUUCUGCUGGAGCAAUGCUCACAUUGCUCUGGAAACACUGGAAAAUCUCAAGAUGCAGGUCAGUCUGCUCCAUGGAUGAGUAUGAGGCCCCAAGCCAUCUCUCAAACUAAAGAUUCCCCAGCCAGAUAAUGCUGAAGAGUCUUCAACAAGGCAAUAUGAUUACUCUGUGUGCUUAGAAGAAGAGGGAUUAUAAAUGUCAGCUGUUGCUCUUUGACUCCUGCUGAUUGAUUCAUUGAUUCAUCUUUCCAACAGGCGUGUGCUGCAAGUUGAUUAUACUGAAUGACACUGCGGAGGUUAUAAAGAAAUAAAAUACUUUGGGUUUACUCUCAACUAAAAUUCUAAUUCUUUCUACCAUAUAUUCUUAUGUGAGAUCUCAGCCUGCUGUAUCCAAGUCACCUGGUACCUGGACUAGGGCAUUUCUGUAUCAAAUUAACUUUAAAGGUAUUUCAGUAAUUAAUAAUGAUCAAAAGUUGGCCAGGCGCGGUGGCUCAAGUUUGGGAGGCUGAGGUGGGUGGAUUGCGAGGUCAAGAGAUCGAGACCAUCCUGGUCAACAUGGUGAAAACCUGUCUCUACUAAAAAUACAAAACAAAAUUAGCUGGGCGUGGUGGCGCACGCCUGUAAUCCCAGCUACUUGGGAGGCUGAGGCAGGAGAACUGCCUGAACCCAGGAGGCGGAGGUUGCGGUGAGCCGAGAUCGCGCCAUUGCACUCCAGCCUGGGUAACAGGAGAGAAGCUCCAUCUCAAAAUAAAAUAAAAUAAAAUAAUGAUCCAAAAGUUCUAAAUAUUGGGAAACUAGAUGAGGUGGAAAAGAAAAGGCCACUUGGUAGAAAAUUAGAUAAAAUA